rnacentral:rRNA from 1 species
UACGGAGGGGGCUAGCGUUGUUCGGAAUUACUGGGCGUAAAGGGCGCGUAGGCGGUGCGAUCAGUCAGGCGUGAAAGGCCCGGGCUCAACCCGGGGACUGCGCUUGAUACUGUUGCGCUGUGAGUCCGGGAGAGGAUGGCGGAAUUCCCAGUGUAGAGGUGAAAUUCGAUAGAUAUUCGCAAGAACACCAGUGGCGAAGGCGGCUGACUG